CGCGUAGGCUGUGCUGUAAGUCAGGCGUGAAAUCCCCGGGCUCAACCUGGGAAUUGCGUUUGAUACUGCGGCGCUUGAAUGCAGGAGAGGAUGGCGGAAUUCCCAGUGUAGAGGUGAAAUUCGUAGAUAUUGGGAAGAACACCGGCGGCGAAGGCGGCCAUCUGGCCUGUGAUUGACGCUGAGGCGCGAAAGCGUGGGGAGCAAACA
rnacentral:rRNA from 1 species